rnacentral:rRNA from 1 species
CCCGGCCAUAGUGGCCGGGCAACACCCGGUCUCGUAUCGAACCCGGAAGUUAAGCCGGCCACGUCAGGGUGGCAGUGAGGUCCGCGAGGCCUCGCAGCC